GCAGAAUUCCGUGAAUCAUCGACUCUUAGAACGUAUAUUGCCCCCGAGGCCUCGGCCGAGGGCAUGUCUGCCUGAGCGUC
rnacentral:rRNA from 1 species